UGAAAUACAUUUGGUAUCUUGUCACUCCUAAUCUCUCUUCCUCUCCCACACUGGUCCAAGCCACUAUCAUCUCUUUACAAAAUUAUUUAACUAUCUCCUAACUCAUCUCCAACUAUCUGCCCUUAUAUUUAUAUUUUUCACGAAGUAGUCAUGUUGUUCCUUUGAAUGCAUAUCAGAUUCCUGUCCUUACCCAUCCCUGGGCUCUGCUUCUCAGACAAUGGCCUCCUGGUUCUUCUUUUAAUGGGAAUCUUAAGAUCAAGGAGGAGAUUGUGGUUAUAAAUGUCUGAUGGCAUCUCUACAUCUCAGGCGAAGCAUGGAGGAUUUCACAGAUGAGGGCAACAAACACAAAGCAAACAAAUAAAAAAAAGGAAAGCAGCAAGAACAACAGAAAGAAAAAUGUUGAAUUCUUCAAACUACCUAAUUUUGAUUUUUCUAUAUCCAACCCAAUUUUGUUAAUUUUAUCUUAAAAUAUCUUCAGUCUAUGAACU